UUCCGGUUGAUCCCGCCGGAGGCUACCGCUAUUGGAGUUCGAUUAAGCCAUGCGAGUCGCGAGUCUUAGGGACUCGGCGUACCGCUCAGUAACACGUGGGUAACCUGCCCUAUGCUGGGGGAUAACCUCGGGAAACUGAGAAUAAUACCCCAUAGUUCACCACGCCUGGAACGGUGGGUGGACCAAAGCUCCGGCGGCAUAGGAUGGGCCUGUGGCGUAUCAGGUUGUAGGGGGUGUAAUGUACCCUCUAGCCCUCUACGCGUACGGGUGUUGAGAGACAUCGCCCGGAGAUGGAUUCUGAGACACGAAUCCAGACCCUACGGGGUGCAGCAGGCGCGAAAACUUGGCAAUGCGAGAAAUCGUGACCAGGGAACUCCAAGUGCAUCGGGUAAGACCGAUGCUUUUCUUGACUCUUCAAAGGUCUUGGAAUAAGGGGUGGGUAAGGACGGUGCCAGCCGCCGCGGUAAUACCGGCGCCCCAAGUGGUAGUCGCUUUUAUUGGGCCUAAAACGUCCGUAGCCGGUCUGGUACAUUCGUGGGUAAAUCAACCAGCUCAACUGGUUGAAUUCUGCGAGCACGGCCAGACUUGGGACCGGGAGAGGUGUGGGGUACUCUCAGGGUAGGGGUAAAAUCCUGUCAUCCUGAGGGGACCACCUGUUGCGAAGGCGCCACACUAGAACGGAUCCGACGGUCAGGGACGAAGCCUAGGGGCACGAACCGGAUUAGAUACCCGGGUAGUCCUAGGUGUAAACGCUGUGGACUUGAUGUUGGGGGCGCUCCGAGCGCACUCAGUGUCGAAGCGAAGGUGAUAAGUCCACUGCCUGGGGAGUACGGUCGCAAGGCUGAAACUUAAAGGAAUUGGCGGGGGAGCACCGCAACCUGAGGAUUGUGCGGUUUAAUUGGAGUCAACGCCGGA
rnacentral:rRNA from 1 species